UAAAAACGUCAUUUAUAUGUUAAGGGGAUAAGCCUCAAGCUGUAUUAUAUGUGUGGGAAGGUGUCGAGGCCCUAGACCUCUCACACAUAUAGUACAGUUUGUGGCUUAUUUCUAACUUAAAGCACAAUGUUAUUUGUGUAAAUAUAAACCAGAAGUAAAAAUAUAAGCCAUUAAUGUAUACCUGUGCACUCUUGCGUAUCAAUUCAUUCAUCACAUAUUAACCAGAUAAGGUAAUGCACGUGUACUGACAUUAGAUGUGUGUGUGUGCGUUUUACCGUAUCAAUACAUUCAUCACAUAUAAACCAGAUAAGGUAAUGCACGUGUACUAACAUUAGAUGUUUGUGUGUACGUUCUACCGUAUCAAUCCAUUCAUCACAUAUUAACCAGAUGAGGUAAUGCACGUGUACUAACAUUAUAUGUUUGUGUAUGCGUUCUACCGUAUCAAUCCAUUCAUCACAUAUACACCAGACAAAGUUAUCUUAUGAUAUCGAAUGCAUGCAGAAGUAGUUCCUUUCCUACAUUUCUCGUUGGCAAAAUAUUUUCCAGCGAUGAACGUGUCUACUUUUACAAUCAGCGUAUAAUACGCAAAAAGCUGGUGAUACCGACGAGGUUUAGAGAGACAUCAUUUAUUAGUUCUGAAAAUACACUUAAAACAGCGAUGUCUUUCUUUAAUAUCUCUGACACAGAUAUGGAAAGAUUUCUUAGGAAAUGGAUCGUGUAGAGUCAUACAAAAUACAACAACACAGUAGAUCUGGUCAACCAUUGAAAGAAGGCGAUGUACAAGCAUAAUAUCAACCCAACAACAGUUUUUACUUAUCUUUCCUGUCAUUUCUAAAAAUCUUUAGACGGACGUGAUCAAACCAUGAUCAGUAUGGGUUAUCACAUUAUUAUCAGAGUCGAGGUGAAGCCCUCCAUACUGUAAUGUACCGGAAGUAGUUGUAUACCUCUUUUUACCUGGCAUUGGAGUAGACAUAUUGGGCGAACUUGAUUCUAGCUUGCCGUUUGUGCCGUUUGCCGGUUUUGAGCUUGCCGACGGCACGUACAUUCAAGCAAAGCGGCUCAGUUGCAAUAUGGCCGACAAAAACCAAAACAUUUAUUUCUUUUUAUUUAAUUUAUCUAUAGAUAUAUAUGAAUAAACAUAUUUCAAAAGCAUUGAAAACAUCAAACGCUGUAGAACAUUCAAACUUAUUUUGCAAUAUAAAUGACUAAAAUAGCCUGACAGACUCAAAACAAGUUGAAAUCCUUUUAACUUCUAACUUCGUCUAAUUCGGUUGAACACGUCGCCAUCUUGUUUGCCGGCGUGCCGGUGCUCCCGAACAGGCUGGAAUUGACGCCGAUCAGCACAUACCGAAAUUGCGCGCCCAUUUUCGGGACACAAUCAAGUAAUUUUACCGCAUUGCCACCUUGCUGUCGGCAAACCGGCACGUCAGAAUCAAGUUCGCCCAUUGUUUCCAUUUAUCGUAACAGGGCUCGCGUUAGAUGCAAGUUGUUUUUUUUUAUAUAUCUGAUGUCAUAAAUUUUGUAUAGAAGUUAUAAUGCAUAAAACGCACACGGAAACCCGGAAUUUCGGUAAACAAACCAACAGAGGCUGAAUCAGCCAGCCGGUAAACAGAGAGUUGGUUGCUUGAGAAGCUGGAGAAUGAGAGAAGCUCGAGAAUUGAAGCCCGAGAAUUAAAGGAUAUGAAAUUUAUGGUAGGUAGAUCAAACAGAAUAAAGGAAUGGAUUUCAUGCAAGUUAAGGUAAAUGGCAUUGAAACUGAAAGUAGAAUUGAACCUAGCUAGAUGGACUAUUGUAGGCCUAAUAAUUAGAGCAAAUUUACUGUAUAAUUUGCUGUUUACAUCGGCGUUUGUAGCGAUUGAUAUGUUAUUACGAUACAGAUUAUCAGUUAUUUACUUUUUAUAUUGAUGUAUCGAUUUAUUUCCCUUACAUAUGGAAUCUGGACAAGGUGAAAAGAAUUGGUUCAUUUACACAUCAGUUAACUACAUGUGAUCAUGAUCUGUAUAUAUAUUUUUUGUUUUAAACCAAUUGGCACUCAGUCUGUUAAUUAUAAAGUAAACAGCAUGAGUAUACAUGUAUGUGUGAUCUUAGAAUGUUUUAUCAAGUUGUUUUAUUACCACCCUAUUUAUACACGAUCAUUGGUGCACACAGGCCUGUUGUCAUCACUGGAAUUGGAUAGAUAUACAUGUAAUUAUAAGUAGCUACAGGCUAGGUCUAGAAUUUGAUAGAUAUACAUGUAAUUAUAAGUAGCUACAGGCUAGGUCUAGAAUUUGAUAGAUAUACAUGUAAUUAUAAGUAGCUACAGGCUAGGCCUAAGCAUUAGUUAAAUCAGCAAAGCAGUGCAAUGAAUUCUAAGAUGAUAAAUUAAAGUGGGACUUUAUUCACCCAGUAUAGAUACUGGCCAGUCAACAGAUCGGUUAAAGAUAAAUAUUUCGAUUUUUAUAAAUACAUUUACACCUGUACAAUGUUUCAUUUCAUUUCAACAAAUUGUAUUGUACAUUGUACUUUAAAUUUGUAUAAAUACAUGGGAUUAGACAACAGACUUAACCUAUAUCUAAAGUCUUCUCCUAAAUACAUUAAUGGACAACCUUUAAUUUGUUUAAUGGUUUAAUAUUGAAAACUAAUUUAGAACAAACUAAACAAGUAAACUGUUUUCAUAUCUAACACAUAAGAGUAAAUAAGUAGUAAACAUUCAAUAUUAAAAGGAACAUGAUAAUCACAUUAAUUAUCAUUGAUAGGAUAACUAAAAUGUACUUGAUGUUCAUUGAUUUUGUCAUCUUAAUACCUAACAUACAUAAUUUAUUACAACAUAGGGUUGUUCAAGCAAACGACAAACUAUUGCUGUGUACAAUUGUUUGAAAAAUUCAUGAAUAUGACAUCGUCAUGGAUACCGGCGACCUUCCAUACCACUAAUAUUACUAGUGCCCCAGUAGCAGGAUGGGUGGAAAACGAGAGUGCAUUAGAUGAAGUCAUUGAAGCACACAAGAGGAAAAUAGAUGACCAAAGUCAUUGAAGCACACAAGAGGUAAAUACUCUAUGCUUUUAUUGCAUGUUAUGAAAUCCAGUCCGAAGUUAAACAGAGUGAAAAGGAGACAGGGAAAAGGUAUUCAACUUAAUAAGAAGACAGUAAAGGACAAUAUUGCUGCAGAAGAAGGGAUUUACCUAUUGCAAUGUGAUCCAUUACCUUCAAAUGUAUAAGCAUCUAAGAAUGAGGUCAGACAACUCACAAAUGUGGAAAAAGAUAACAUUCAAGCCAUGGAGGCUGUCAACAUGCUGUGGAAAGAGACUGUAAUGUUCCUGUAGCAAAGGUGGAUGGGAGGAACAUUUAUGACACAGAAAUACGAUCUCUAAGACCAAAUGAAUUGCUCACUGAUGUGGUAAUGGACAGUUAUUUGUCAGUGCUCAGAAUGAUCUUGGAGGGAAGGUCAUCCACUAUGUCCAGACAAAAAUGACAAGCAUCAUCAAUCGAAUACAUGUUGUAAAAAACGUAGAAAAGGAGGACCCACUGCAGUUCCAGCGGUAGACAUUGAGAAGAUAGUGGGGAUUUAUUACACACCAGGCCAUUGGACAUUAGAGAUAGUAGAAGUGCAGAAUUGAAGAAUCUACUACUACAACCCAACUGGAGAGCAUUGGACAGCUAUGAAGAAAAUAGAGAUGAACUGGAAGAAGUAUAUCCUUGACCUCCAAGAGACCUUUGAUGUAGCAUUCAGGGCAAGUGAGUGGACAGUUGUCAAGAAUCCACAUACCCGACAGACGGAUUGCUGUAACUGUGGAGUCAGUUGUUUGAUGUUUGCAGAAGAAACAUCUGGGUGCCAACAUCAGUGAGAAACAUUAAAGACUGUGACAUCAAUGAGACACGUCAUAAAGCAGCAACAUACCUUAUGUUAUAUGAAGUUUUCUUAGAUGGAAGUUGUCCCAAAUGUGGAUUUGAACUUGGAUCUGAUGAAAGUAUUGAAUGCAAGUGCUGUACAGGACAUUAUCAUCUACCUUUCUGCACAGAUGAAGAGAUAAUGGAUCAUGGUGACCCGGAGUUUGAUUGCAGAUUAUGCAGAAUCAACUUCUGGGUGAAUAGAUGAAGCUGGUCAAUAAAAGUUAUAUCAUGGCA